GAUGAAGAACGUAGUGAAAUGCGAUAAGUAAUGUGAAUUGCAGAAUUCAGUGAAUCAUCGAAUCUUUGAACGCACAUUGCGCCCGCCAGUAUUGUGGCGGGCAUGCCUGUUCGAGCGUCAUUACAACCCUCAGGCCCCCGGGCCUGGCGUUGGGGAUCGGCGGAGCCCCCCGUGGGCACACGCCGUCCCCCAAAUACAGUGGCGGUCCCGCCGCAGCUUCCAUCGCGUAGUAGCUAACACCUCGCGACUGGAGAGCGGCGCGGCCACGCCGUAAAACACCCAACUCUUCUGAAGUUGACCUCGAAUCAGGUAGGAAUACCCGCUGAACUUAAGCAUAUCAAUAAGCGGAGGA
rnacentral:misc_RNA from 1 species